GCACCCAAGGCGCCCCGGAAGGAUAGAGGAGAGACACAUGGGGAAACACAGAACGCUAGCAAAGGGUUCCAAACCUACAGGGCACUCCCUAUUCAUAUUACCAUGUUAACCCCGCCCUCUUUCCCCUCCUCCAUCCUUCGCCUUUCCUGUGUCCAAUGGAAAGGGAAGGGGGCGGAGGUAGCCUCGUUCUGAUUAUGCACCGUCUAUAUAAGGAGCUGCCCUAAAGCUUUUUCGCUCUUUUCGUCUGGACUGCUUUGCGUAUGUCGUCUUGUGCUUUCCCUGUUUUGCAGGAAGAAUGGCAACAGCUCCAGCUGAUUUUUCAGGGCUGUCUUACCGGAACAAUCAGAUCCAAAUGAAAGCAUUAGAGCAUCUGGAUCAAUAUUCUUCUGCUUGUAGCUGUUUAAAUACUUGAAUGGUCAGAACAAGCUUUAAUUGAAUAAUGUGAUGAUCUCUGCAAGAUCUUGUUAACAGACCCAUUGGGCUUCAGUUUCAGUGACAUUGAACAUGCAAGAUUGAGAAGCUCUUGGUUACCAUGUGUCAAGGAUGUUUUGUGGAAUCUUUCCAUCUGGCGUAGAGACAAAUGUGUGGAUGAUCGCUGGAAAAGAACUAAGAAAUGAAGCUUUUUAAUGUCAUUGCAAGUGCUAAGACCUAAAAUUUGGGGGCAAAUAGACAGAAACUUUGAAUUGUAUGUGGAAUUACUGAUAUUUUCUCAUAAAUUUGUUUUAUUGUUUUCAAAAUAAUUUAUAAACUUGCCUUAAUUUUGUGAUUUUUAAUGUAAUUGUUAUUAAGUGAUCUUUUCCAUUUCAAAGCAAUUAUACAUUUGGGACAUUUUAAGUUAAAUAUUGACUUGCAUAUUUGAAAAUGUCUAAUCUGUCCUAAAAAGUAGUGCUUUGCUUUUUAGAAUGAUGCAGAUGUUUUGUGUUUUAAGACCCAUUUAUGGGUGAGGCAGAUUUUUUAUUAAAGUUGUAUUGACUGUCA